rnacentral:rRNA from 1 species
UACGGAGGGUGCAAGCGUUAUCCGGAUUCACUGGGUUUAAAGGGUGCGUAGGUGGGUUUGGUAAGUCAGUGGUGAAAUCUCCGGGCUUAACUCGGAAACUGCCGUUGAUACUAUCAAUCUUGAAUCUCGUGGAGGUAAGCGGAAUAUGUCAUGUAGCGGUGAAAUGCUUAGAUAUGACAUAGAACACCGAUAGCGAAGGCAGCUUGCUACACGAGUAUUGACACUGAGGCACGAAAAGCGUGGGGGAUCAAACAGGAUUAGAAAACCCCCAGUAG